UACGUAGGGGCCAAGCGUUGUCCGGAUUUAUUGGGCGUAAAGAGCUCGUAGGCGGUUCGGCAAGUCAGCUGUGAAAUCUCCACGCUCAACGUGGAGGGGGUCAGCUGAUACUGCUGUGACUCGAGUCCGGUAGGGGAGUGUGGAAUUCCCGGUGUAGCGGUGAAAUGCGCAGAGAUCAUGAGGAAGACCAGUGGCGAAGGCGGGUCUCUGGACAGUUCCUGACGCUGAGGCACGAAGGCCAGGGGGAGCAAAACGGGG
rnacentral:rRNA from 1 species